GAUGAAGAACGUAGCGAAAUGCGAUACGUAAUGUGAAUUGCAGAAUUCAGUGAAUCAUCGAAUCUUUGAACGCAUAUUGCGCUCUCUGGUAUUCCGGAGAGCAUGCUUGUUUGAGUAUCAGUAAACACCUCAACUUCCAUAUCUUUUUUGAAAUGGGAGUUGGACUUGAGUGAUCCCAACGCUUUUCCUCACCGAAAAGUGGCGGGUUACUUGAAAUGCAGGUGCAGCUGGACUUUUCUCUGAGCUAUAAGCAUAUCUAUUUAGUCUGCCUAAAAACAGAUUAUUACCUUUGCUGCAGCUAACAUAAAGGAGAUUAGUUCUUGUGCUGACUGAUGCAGGAUUCACAAAGACAGGCUUCGGCCGACUUUGUAAACUCGAUCUCAAAUCAAGUAAGACUACCCGCUGAACUUAAGCAUAUCAAUAAGGGAGGA
rnacentral:misc_RNA from 1 species